GUCCACGCCCUAAACGAUGUCUACUAGUUGUUGGUGGAGUAAAAUCCAUGAGUAACGCAGCUAACGCGUGAAGUAGACCGCCUGGGGAGUACGGUCGCAAGAUUAAAACUCAAAUGAAUUGACGGGGGCCCCGCACAAGCGGUGGAUUAUGUGGAUUAAUUCGAUGCAACGCGAAAAACCUUACCUGGCCUUGACAUGUAACGAACUUUCCAGAGAUGGAUUGGUGCUCGAAAGAGAGCGUUAACACAGGUGCUGCAUGGCUGUCGU
rnacentral:rRNA from 1 species